UCGAUGAAGAACGCAGCGAAAUGCGAUAAGUAAUGUGAAUUGCAGAAUUCAGUGAAUCAUCGAAUCUUUGAACGCAUCUUGCGCUCCCUGGUAUUCCGGGGAGCACGCCUGUUCGAGUGUCGCGAAAUUCUCAAGCCGUGGAUGCUUUUGUUAAGUGUCCUAAGCUUGGUUAUUGGGCUUUGCCGUGUCCUUUUGGGAUGGCUGGCCUUAAAAGUAUUAGCUGAUCCUCAUGAUGGCAUUGGUUCUACUCAGCGUGAUAAUUAACUGACCGCUGAGGACAUCUUUCGGGGUGGCCAAUUCUCGUUUGGGUUGCUCUCUAAUCUGGUUUAUGGGUUGCUAAUAACAAUCCGUUCCAUUUUCAAUUUGACCUCGAAUCAGGUGGGACUACCCGCUGAACUUAA
rnacentral:rRNA from 1 species